GUGCUAGCUUCGGCACCACAUAUACUAAAUUGGAAUGAUACAGAGAAGAUUAGCAUGUCCUCUGUGCAAGGAUGAAAUGCCAAUUCAUGAAGCAUUCCAUAUUUUU